UUUGUUAAUUAUUAACACUAACAAAUCCGGUGUGUGUGAGUGCCUGCAAAAUAUUCCUGAACAUUAAUCCCUGUCCCCGGUUGACGUCGAAAGAUUUAUCCUGUUCAAUAGCUUAACAAUACCGCGCCGCGUUCACCCCAUUUAAUACGAAAAUGUUCUGCAGUUUCACUGCAUCUUUUGUGCUGCCGCUGGUGUCCAGUUUGCUUCCAUUAUAGCGUAACCUUUAGCACACGGUUUCUUGUAUGCUUCGAUUCUGCCGAGUUACGUGCUUUCAUAACGUUAUUUUUUAAACGCUAAUGUUAUCUGGCUAAAUCAUCGACAGUCAAAUAAUUAUACUCCUUGUACUCCAGUAAAUCCAGUGAAGUGCAUACACUCAAAUAUCGGAUUGCAACUUUAGUUUUAUAUUUUAUCUGUCGGUUUCCGCUAUGGGGAAAGCAUCGACCUUUGCUUUAUUUUUCGUAAUGAUGACGAUUACAUUGCAAUUUUUUGAGGCUGAUUCAGCUACGGAUUUGCCAGCUGGAACUGAAACGGUUUCAGAAAAGCCAUUGGAUAUCACUGAUGAGGAAUUAAAAGGAGGAUGCAGCAAAAGGGAUCCGCACCCUCUGGGUUAUGCUACGAAUACUGGACACUAUCAAAUAGCUCGCCUAGGACGACAAUAUCGUUCUUUCCCGAAUCGAGUUGUUCUAUCAGACCGCAACCAUAAAAAAGCCGAUCUGAGUGACUUGUGGUGGUACUGUGCAUCGAUCAAUUGGAGAAGGUCACAGUUUACGAUCAACCGCUGCAAGAACAUCAUGCUUAAUAAUCCAAAUUAUUUCUAGAAGCCGUGAAGUCCAAAGAAGAUCAUGUUUAUUUUAAAUGCAAAGCCAAAGACAGGAUUUUUCAUACAAGCCCAGAUUUUGUUGCAUUAGGUUUAACUUCUUUAAUUUCACUAUUAUCAACGUUAUAACUAUUAUUGUGUUCGGUUAAGAUACGGGUGGCUUUAUUAACGAUACAGGUUAACACAGUGAACUACUAUCAAUCUGUUUACCACAUGAACUACUGUAAACACACUUGAGAUUAUCAGAAAACCUCGAGCGGUUGGCAUUUCAAUAAAUUAAAGUAGUCUUCAACAAAUUUGUACAACGACUACAGCGAUAUGAUACCGCAAACAUGGCAAGUUUAUCUAAAUUUUGAAUCUUCUUCGUGCAUUGGUUGUACGUAUAUUUGAGUAGCCUCUUGCACAUUCGAUUUCCUUCGUUCGGACUGCACUCCCAGGAGCCAGUACGUUCGGAUAUGACCUUUGCCUUUAACCGGGAUUUCGCCUCGUUCUUCGUAUUCAAAAUAUCCAAAGUUCUCCAGUAACCCGUGCAUUGCGGAGCUGAUUUGAAUUCUGAGAGCUAAUUCAAGAAAUACAAUAUAGAGCACCAUUAAUUUAGUUCUGUUUGUUGUGAUUAUAGAAUAUACUGUAGUAUAAUAUUCAAACAAAUGCAUUUGCGUUAUGAGUACGAAGCAACGAUGAAUUAGCAGAAUUCUGUAUGAUAUUCCUUUACUCGAAAUUGUUUUCAGCAACCAAAAAAAUAGGCAGAAUAAAAGCGACUGCGAAACUGAGCAUGUAUUAAUAUUUAUUUAAGUAUUUUGCUUAAUAUUUAAGUAUUUUGUCUGAGGAUGUGUUUUCCGACCUGCGCCUUUUAAAUAAUGUUUCGCAUUAUCAGUCGGAAUACUGAUAAUUAAUUGUGCUAGCCUUUAAAGUGUG